UGGGGAACCUGCCCCAUAGUCUGGGAUACCACUUGGAAACAGGUGCUAAUACCGGAUAAGAAAGCAGAUCGCAUGAUCAGCUUUUAAAAGGCGGCGUAAGCUGUCGCUAUGGGAUGGCCCCGCGGUGCAUUAGCUAGUUGGUAAGGUAAAGGCUUACCAAGGCGAUGAUGCAUAGCCGAGUUGAGAGACUGAUCGGCCACAUUGGGACUGAGACACGGCCCAAACUCCUACGGGAGGCAGCAGCU
rnacentral:rRNA from 1 species